rnacentral:rRNA from 1 species
GUAGUUGAUCGAUGGCUACGAGACGACGCUGGCGGCGUGCUUAACACAUGCAAGUCGAACGGUGACGAGGAGCUUGCUCCUCUGAUCAGUGGCGAACGGGUGAGUAACACGUGAGCAACCUGCCCCAGACUCUGGGAUAACAGUUGGAAACAGCUGCUAAUACCGGAUACGAGACGGAGAGGCAUCUCUACCGUCUGGAAAGUUUUCGGUCUGGGAUGGACUCGCGGCCUAUCAGCUAGUUGGUGAGGUAAUGGCUCACCAAGGCGACGACGGGUAGCCGGCCUGAGAGGGCGACCGGCCACACUGGGACUGAGACACGGCCCAGACUCCUACGGGAGGCAGCAGUGGGGAAUAUUGCACAAUGGGCGAAAGCCUGAUGCAGCGACGCCGCGUGAGGGAUGAAGGCCUUCGGGUUGUAAACCUCUUUCAGCAGGGAAGAAGCGAAAGUGACGGUACCUGCAGAAGAAGCACCGGCUAACUACGUG